rnacentral:snRNA from 1 species
AGCCAUGGAGGAUGAUCUGGCUUCGACAUCUGCCACCCCAUUGAUCACCAGGGUUGAUUAGGCUGAUCUGGCUGGCUAGGCUUGUGGCCCCUUACUCCCUCACUGCUCCAUGUGAGUCCCUCCUGAAACUGUGAGCUCUUUGGAAGAGGACAACCUUCCCCGAAUAUAGGAGUAUUGGUCUUUGGUCAAGGGUAUACGAAUAGCUCUGCUCACCUUCUAGAACCUCCAAACAAACUCUCAAGACUGUAUGCAUUUCUAAAAAAUAACAGAGAUGGCACCACCAAGGCUUUACUGCUGCUGAUUAGCAUUUUGCA